rnacentral:rRNA from 1 species
AUUGAACGCUAGCGGGAUGCUUUACACAUGCAAGUCGAACGGCAGCGCGGACUUCGGUCUGGCGGCGAGUGGCGAACGGGUGAGUAAUGUAUCGGAACGUGCCCAGUAGCGGGGGAUAACUACGCUAAAGCGUAGCUAAUACCGCAUACGCCCUACGGGGGAAAGCAGUGGAUCGUAAGACCUUGCACUAUUUGAGCGGCCGAUAUCGGAUUAGCUAGUUGGUGAGGUAACGGCUCACCAAGGCGACGAUCCGUAGCUGGUUUGAGAGGACGACCAGCCACACUGGGACUGAGACACGGCCCAGACUCCUACGGGAGGCAGCAGUGGGGAAUUUUGGACAAUGGGGGCAACCCUGAUCCAGCCAUCCCGCGUGUGCGAUGAAGGCCUUCGGGUUGUAAAGCACUUUUGGCAGGAAAGAAACGUCGCGGGCUAAUACCCCGUGGAACUGACGGUACCUGCAGAAUAAGCACCGGCUAACUACGUG